rnacentral:tRNA from 1 species
ACCCAGCUGGCUCAGUCAGUAGGGCAUAUGACUUGUGAUAUAAGGAUCAUGAAUUCAAGCCCCAUGUUGGGUG